CUGGUCGAGUGAUCCUGCGCCGAAGAUUUCCGGGGCUAAAACUUACUACCGAAGCUACGGCAUCAUUAUGAUGGGUAGGGGAGCUUCCCAUACGGGUUGAAGCAUGACCGUAAGGACAUGUGGACAGCAUGGGAGUGAGAAUGUUGGCAUGAGUAGCGAGAUGUGGGUGAGAAUCCCACAGGCCGUAAACCCAAGGUUUCCAGGGGAAGGUUCGUCCGCCCUGGGUUAGCCGGGACCUAAGCUGAGGCCGAAAGGCGUAGGUGAUGGACAACAGGUUGAUAUUCCUGUACUACC
rnacentral:rRNA from 1 species